CCUACGGGAGGCAGCAGUGGGGAAUCUUGCGCAAUGGGGGAAACCUUGACGCAGCAACGCCGCGUGGGUGAUGAAGGCCUUCGGGUCGUAAAGCCCUGUCAGGUGGGAAGAAACAUGUCGGUGCUAAUAUCACCGAUGUUUGACGGUACCGCCGGAGGAAGCACCGGCUAACUCCGUGCCAGCAGCCGCGGUAAUACGGAGGGUGCAAGCGUUGUUCGGAAUUACUGGGCGUAAAGCGCGUGUAGGCGGUCGGGCAAGUCAGAUGUGAAAGCCUUCCGCUUAACGGAAGAAGUGCAUUUGAAACUACCCGGCUGGAGUACGGGAGAGGAGAGUGGAAUUCCCGGUGUAGAGGUGAAAUUCGUAGAUAUCGGGAGGAACACCAGUGGCGAAGGCGGCUCUCUGGUCCGAUACUGACGCUGAGACGCGAAAGCGUGGGGAGCAAACAGGAUUAGAUACCCUGGUAGUCCACGCCGUAAACGAUGGGCACUAGGUGUCGCGGGUAUUGACCCCUGCGGUGCCGACGCUAACGCAUGAAGUGCCCCGCCUGGGGACUACGGCCGCAAGGCUAAAACUCAAAGGAAUUGACGG
rnacentral:rRNA from 1 species